GGUAGUAGUGGUAGGGAGUUGAGGGUGAUUUAUAUCGCUCAGGAAAGUCCGCCCACCAGCAACUUGAAAUUUUCAUCGAAGAUUUCUUGCUUGUUAUGGCCACUUCAAUAAUGAAGAUGGGGAAACCCCAUGUCAAUGGCUCAGAAACGAAACGUCCAUGUAUCGGGAUGAAGAUGGCGAAGUCUGUUGCGAAACAGAUGAGUUAACCCGUUGACCAUGUUACAUGGGAACGAUGAAACGGCGAAUACUGGCCGGUGCAAGUCGGUGUAAGGGAUUAUUUAGGUAAUUUCUUGCACGUAAGUACGCUUAGUAGAAUACUUCCACAGAUUAUCGAUGUUCAUUUGAACUUUUUGGAUCUGACAGAAGGCGGCUUAUUCCACUCUACC
rnacentral:RNase_P_RNA from 1 species